rnacentral:misc_RNA from 1 species
GAACCAUAAAACUUAUAUAACAGCUCCAGAAAAGUCGCACAUAGAAAAAAGGCAGGCAAUUCAAAAAACUAAAACAACACCUCCGCGCCUCCAAAAGAGAAAGGAAAAUGAAAAAGAAAGAGAGACAAAGGAGUAGCUCAUGAACAAUAUCACUUGUUCCAGACUUCACAAACUUGAUUACAGCAGAGGAUAAUUAGCGGAAAGAAGGCACAGAGAACCACCAAAUUCAUUUCUCACUAGCGCGGUCAACACCAUUGAAGGCCCUUUUUUGUCAGUAUUGAAACAUGCACACCCGUCUUCACUAUUCAAGAAGCCUUCUCUGUAUCUGUGGCUUUGUCCGACGCAUCGUGAUAAAGGGAAUCCUCCUCAGGAACCAGAUGAAGCACCUCAUUCGCCUUUGCUGCUUUUUUAGCUGAGCCAUCAUUACCCAAACUAUCAUCAUCAUCAGGAACAGCAUCUUUAUCAUCAGGAUAUCUCACCACAAUAACAGGGCAAACACAAUGACGCACACAAUAAUCACUGACACUCCCAAGCCUUCCCUCCGUGCUUCGCCUCGAUGCCCCAAACCCUCGACUACCCAUGAUCACAGCACUCAACCCCAACCUCUCAAUUUCCAA